CUACGCACUCCUACGGGAGGCAGCAAUGGGGAAUAUUGCACAAUGGGCGCAAGCCUGAUGCAGCCAUGCCGCGUGUAUGAAGAAGGCCUUCGGGUUGUAAAGUACUUUCAGCAGUGAGGAAGGUGGGUAUGUUAAUAGCAUACUCAUUUGACGUUAGCUGCAGAAGAAGCACCGGCUAACUCCGUGCCAGCAGCCGCGGUAAUACGGAGGGUGCGAGCGUUAAUCGGAAUUACUGGGCGUAAAGCGCAUGCAGGUGGUUUGUUAAGUCAGAUGUGAAAGCCCGGGGCUCAACCUCGGAAUUGCAUUUGAAACUGGCAAACUAGAGUACUGUAGAGGGGGUAGAAUUUCAGGUGUAGCGGUGAAAUGCGUAGAGAUCUGAAGGAAUACCGGUGGCGAAGGCGGCCCCCUGGACAGAUACUGACACUCAGAUGCGAAAGCGUGGGGAGCAAACAGGAUUAGAUACCCUGGUAG
rnacentral:rRNA from 1 species